AUUGAACGCUGGCGGCAGGCCUAACACAUGCAAGUCGAGCGGAGCGGCGGACGCGUACGUAUUGCUCAGGAAUCUGCAUGGUCGUGGGGGAUAACGGUCGGAAACGGGCGCUAAUACUACUACCUAUCAGCAGUGCCUAGGUCGGAUUAGCUAGUUGGUGGGGUAAAGGCCUACCAAGGCGACGAUCCGUAACUGGUCUGAGAGGAUGAGCAGUCACACUGGAACUGAGACACGGUCCAGACUCCUACGGGAGGCAGCAGUGGGGAAUAUUGGACAAUGGGCGAAAGCCUGAUCCAGCCAUGCCGCGUGUGUGAAGAAGGUCUUCGGAUUGUAAAGCACUUUAAGUUGGGAGGCGUUACCAGCAGAAUAAGCACCGGCUAACUUCGUGCCAGCAGCCGCGGUAAUUC
rnacentral:rRNA from 1 species